ACUGAAAAUUUUACUGUGCGACUCAGUAUAAUUUGAUUGAGUAAUUAAUUACUAUAAUUAUUUGUAU
rnacentral:tRNA from 1 species